rnacentral:rRNA from 1 species
GACUUUGAUUCUGGCUCAGGACAAACGCUGGCGGCGUGCCUAACACAUGCAAGUCGAACGAGAAUCCGUGGACAGAGGUUUCGGCCAAUGGAAGCGGAGGACAGUGGCGGACGGGUGAGUAAUGCAUGAGCAACCUGCCCUGGAGAGGGGGACAACAUCCGGAAACGGGUGCUAAUACCGCAUGAAGUUACGGGAAGGCAUCUUUCCGUAACCAAAGAUUUAUCGCUCUGGGAUGGGCUCAUGUCUGAUUAGCUAGUUGGCGGGGUAACGGCCCACCAAGGCUGCGAUCAGUAGCCGGACUGAGAGGUUGAACGGCCACAUUGGGACUGAGAUACGGCCCAGACUCCUACGGGAGGCAGCAGUGGGGAGUAUUGGGCAAUGGGCGCAAGCCUGACCCAGCAACGCCGCGUGAAGGAAGAAGGCUUUCGGGUUGUAAACUUCUUUUAUCAGGGACGAAGAAAGUGACGGUACCUGAUGAAUAAGCCACGGCUAACUACGUGCCAGCAGCCGCGGUAAUACGUAGGUGGCGAGCGUUGUCCGGAUUUACUGGGUGUAAAGGGCGCGUAGGCGGGGAUGCAAGUCAGAUGUGAAAUCUAUGGGCUUAACCCAUAAACUGCAUUUGAAACUGUGUCUCUUGAGUGUCGGAGAGGUAGAUGGAAUUCCUAGUGUAGCGGUGAAAUGCGUAGAUAUUAGGAGGAACACCAGUGGCGAAGGCGAUCUACUGGACGAUAACUGACGCGGAGGCGCGAAAGCGUGGGGAGCAAACAGGAUUAGAUACCCUGGUAGUCCACGCCGUAAACAAUGAAUACUAGGUGUGGGGGGACUGACCCCCUCCGUGCCGCGGCAAACGCAAUAAGUAUUCCACCUGGGGAGUACGACCGCAAGGUUGCAACUCAAAGGAAUUGACGGA